AAAGCGCCUGUAGGUUGUUUAGUAAGUCUGUUGUUAAAGACCAGGGCUUAACCCUGGGAAAGCAAUGGAAACUACUAGACUUGAGUAUGGCAGGGGUAGAGGGAAUUUCUAGUGUAGCGGUGAAAUGCGUAGAUAUUAGAAAGAACACCGGCGGCGAAAGCGCUCUACUGGACCAUUACUGACACUCAGAGGCGAAAGCUAGGGGAGCAAAAGGGAUUAGAUACCCCUGUAGUCCUAGCCGUAAACGAUGGAUACUAGAUGUUGCGCAAUUUGUGCAGUAUCUUAGCUAACGCGUUAAGUAUCCCGCCUGGGGAGUACGCUCGCAAGGGUGAAACUCAAAGGAAUUGACGGGGGCCCGCACAAGCGGUGGAGCAUGUGGUUUAAUUCGAUGCAACGCGAAGAACCUUACCAGGGCUUGACAUACUACAAAUCUUUUCGAAACGAAAGAGUGCCUUCGGGAAUGUAGAUACAGGUGGUGCAUGGCUGUCGUCAGCUCGUGUCGUGAGAUGUUGGGUUAAGUCCCGCAACGAGCGCAACCCUCAUUUUUAGUUGCCAAUUUAUUGGGAUUUCUAGAGAGACUGCCGGUGACAAACCGGAGGAAGGUGAGGAUGACGUCAAGUCAGCAUGCCCCUUAUGCCCUGGGCCACACACGUGCUACA
rnacentral:rRNA from 1 species